rnacentral:rRNA from 1 species
GACAGAGGGUGCAAACGUUGUUCGGAAUUACUGGGCGUAAAGCGCGUGUAGGCUGCUCCGCAAGUCGGAUGUGAAAGCCCUGGGCUCAACCUAGGAAGUGCAUUCGAAACUUCGGAGCUGGAGUCCUGGAGAGGAAGGCGGAAUUCUCGGUGUAGAGGUGAAAUUCGUAGAUAUCGAGAGGAACACCUGUGGCGAAGGCGGCCAUCUGGACGACAAUUGACGCUGAGACGCGAAAGCGUGGGUAGCAAACAGG